GAUGAACGCUAGCGAUAGGCCUAACACAUGCAAGUCGAGGGGCAUCACAUGAAGUAGCAAUACGGAUGGUGGCGACCGGCGCACGGGUGAGUAACACGUAUGCAACCUGCCUUCAACAAGGGGAUAACCCGUUGAAAGACGGACUAAUACCCUAUAACACAGGGGUCCCGCAUGGGGAAUAUUUGUUAAAGGACAACCGGUUGAAGAUGGGCAUGCGUUCCAUUAGCUAGUUGGCGGGGUAACGGCCCACCAAGGCAACGAUGGAUAGGGGAACUGAGAGGUUUAUCCCCCACACUGGUACUGAGACACGGACCAGACUCCUACGGGAGGCAGCAGUGAGGAAUAUUGGUCAAUGGACGCAAGUCUGAACCAGCCACGUCGCGUGAAGGAAGACGGCCCUACGGGUUGUAAACUUCUUUUAUACGGGAAUAAAGUGCCCCACGCGUGGGGUUUUGCAUGUACCGUAUGAAUAAGGAUCGGCUAACUCCGUGCCAGCAGCCGCGGUAAGUACUGACUCA
rnacentral:rRNA from 1 species